rnacentral:rRNA from 1 species
UAUUGGACAAUGGGGGCAAGCCUGAUCCAGCCAUGCCGAGUGUGUGAAGAAGGUCUUCGGAUUGUAAAGCACAUUAAGUUGGGAGGAAGGGCUUUAGGGUAAUACCCUGAAGUUUUGACGUUACCAACGGAAUAAGCACCGGCUAACUCAGGCCAAGCAGCCGCGGUAAUACAGAGGUUGCAAGCGUUAAUCGGAAUUACUGGGCGUAAAGCUGGCGUAGGUGGUUCAGUAAGAUGGGUGUGCAAUCCCCGGGCUUAACCUGGGAACUGCUUUCAUAACUGCUGAGCUAGAGUACGGUAGCGGGUAGUGGAAUUUCCUGUGUAGCGGUGAAAUGCGUAGAUAUAGGAAGGAACACCAGUGGCGAAGGCGACUACCUGGACUGAUACUGACACUGAGGUGCGAAAGCGUGGGGAGCAAACA